rnacentral:rRNA from 1 species
GGCCGCGGGAAUUCGAUUCAGGCCUAACACAUGCAAGUAGAAAGAUUUACUUCGGUAAAGAGCGGCGGACGGGUGAGUAACGCGUGGGUAACCUGCCCUGUACACACGGAUAACAUACCGAAAGGUAUGCUAAUACGAGAUAAUAUGCUUUUAUCGCAUGGUAGAAGUAUCAAAGCUUUUGCGGUACAGGAUGGACCCGCGUCUGAUUAGCUAGUUGGUGAGGUAACGGCUCACCAAGGCGACGAUCAGUAGCCGACCUGAGAGGGUGAUCGGCCACAUUGGAACUGAGACACGGUCCAAACUCCUACGGGAGGCAGCAGUGGGGAAU